GAUGAAGAACGCAGCGAAAUGCGAUAAGUAAUGUGAAUUGCAGAAUUCAGUGAAUCAUCGAAUCUUUGAACGCACAUUGCGCCCGCUAGUAUUCUAGCGGGCAUGCCUGUCCGAGCGUCAUUUCAACCCUCAAGCCCCCGGGCUUGGUGUUGGGGAUCGGCGAGCCUCCGCGCCCGCCGUCCCCUAAAUCUAGUGGCGGUCUCGCUGUAGCUUCCUCUGCGUAGUAGCACACCUCGCACUGGGAAACAGCGCGGCCACGCCGUUAAACCCCCAACUUCUGAACGUUUGACCUCGGAUCAGGUAGGAAUACCCGCUGAACUUAAGCAUAUCAAUAAGCGGAGGA
rnacentral:misc_RNA from 1 species